rnacentral:rRNA from 1 species
UGGGGAAUAUUGCACAAUGGGGGAAACCCUGAUACAGCGACGCCGCGUGAGCGAAGAAGUAUUUCGGUAUGUAAAGCUCUAUCAGCAGGGAAGAAAAAAAUGACGGUACCUGAGUAAGAAGCACCGGCUAAAUACGUGCC